rnacentral:tRNA from 2 species
GACAGUCUGGUUCAGUGGUAGAGUACUUGCCUAGCAUGCAAGUACCUGGGGGUGAACCCUGGGUUCAAUCCCCAGGACUGUAA